UGAAGAAUCGUCAACUGUCACCCUACGCUGAAGGAAUCGUCAACUGUCACCCUACGCUGAAGGAAUCGUCAACUGUCACCCUACGCUGAAGGAAUCGUCAACUGUCACCCUACGCUGAAGGAAUCGUCAACUGUCACCCUACGCUGAAGGAAUCGUCAACUGUCACCCUACGCUGAAGGAAUCGUCAACUGUCACCCUACGCUGAAGGAAUCGUCAACUGUCACCCUACGCUGAAGGAAUCGUCAACUGUCACCCUACGCUGAAGGAAUCGUCAACUGUCACCCUACGCUGAAGGAAUCGUCAACUGUGGCUACACAGGCAACUUGGAUCACAAGGAGAGCAUAAUAAGAGCUAUUUUGCUACAUGCAAUCACAAAACGUACAGCGAUGCUUCAGCAGCUGCGUGAAGGCCUUGAAGUCUACAUCCUAAUUGAGGUCAUGCAGAAGAAACCGAAGGAAUGUCUCAAUCUCUUUGUGAUUGGCGAUGAUGACAUGGUAAUUAACUGUGCUGUUUAAUAUUCUGAUUCUUAUUUAUGGGGUCCUGGUUUUGGUCAGGUGACCUGUGUAUCAGAAGUAUAGUGAAAGUAAUGUAUGUCUUGGAAUUCAUUGUCUAUGUUGAUGCACACUACAUUAUCUCAAACCUGGCCCCAGAGAUGAGUGAAAGUGGAUCUCCAAAACAAAAGGAGAUGGAAAUCUUGGAUUUCUUUCAAGAACUUGAUGAUGGGAAAGUGAGCCUGUCUGUGGCUGAAGGCAAUGGAGAGAAGGAAGACAGUGGAGAGAAAGAAGACAAUGGAGAACCACUUGCUGUUCCCAGUGUAAUGCAGUGGCUGACAGGGCAGCCACACACACCUGCUUGUCUCAAAGAGAGAAAAGUUAAGGAUAGUGGUCAUUUUGGACCACUCAUGUCUACAACGCAUGCCGAACCACACUGUUUGUUACCCUGUUGUUAGUGCAUACACCAAAACAAUAACAUUUCCGACAGCCCUCUGAGAGAUUACGAUGCAUUUAAAUCAAACACUGAAACAACAAUCAAAUACGGUGCAAGGUUUGAUAGAGUGUAGCUGAAAGACUCCUCAAUUUAACUGACUGAUCAUCCACAUACAGUACAUUAUGUUCCUGUGUAAAGAAGUCAAAUCUUUCUUGCUUUAUUUUGGGGUUAAUGCUUAAAUAUACGCGUUUGACAACUGCGAUUUAGAAAAAGCUUUUUAUUAACUUCUUACUACUCAGAGCAUUCAUAGAAAGAUGGUAGACUGCAGCAAUAGCUCAGAGGUCUAAACGCUGGAUGGAUGAAUGGACUAUUGGAAAUAGUCAGAGGGACUGAUAGUAUUUGGGCUUUUGUAAAGUUUUUGCAUUAUGUUUUAUACACUGGUCUUAGGCUAUACCUUCAAACACCAAAACCUUAGGUGGCUCCAUUGCUAGUAAAGAGUGUUACAAAAAACACAUUUUGUUGAUACAGUGUAUCAUCCUAGUCCAUGGGAAUUAUGUAAAUGAAAUGACAUACAAUUCACUCAUUUUCUGGUCCUUGCCAACAUACAGUGUUCCAGAUGUACUGUAACUACUUUCGGGUGUCAUCGGUUCUCUCCCCUUUAAUAUGUGAUUCUUUCUGUUUUUAUUCUUUAUUUUGUUUAACAAGUGCCUGAAGCUGUUCUAUAUACAGUAGACCUAUGGGGGCCAAAGACUCCAUUUUAGUAUAGUGUACACCAAGUGGUAUAGAAUACAAGUAUAUAAACUUUAUCCAAAUGCAAUGUAAUAGACCAAUUUAUCUCCGGGCUUGACGUCUAUCUUAUUGAGAGAUUCUUUAAGCUAGCAUUAUACACAAGUAAAGGUGCUCGGUCUGUCUUUAUGUUAUUAAUUUGUAGUACUGUAUCCUGUAACCACCAGAGUCACUGCUUAUUCAGUGGUCUCCAACUUGACCUCUGGAGCUCAGAAAUUAUGAAGAUAACACUGAGACAGUGCCACUCUGUUAGACAGGAAUUUGGUGCUGAAGUACAAUAAUACUUUACAAGUCCUUUUGAUUACCCAAGGUUCAUUUGUAUGCAGCAAGGGAUGGAAGGUUUUAUUAAAAUGUACAUUUAAGGGAUUUUUCAGUUGCUCAUUUUUAUAUUUUGACAUGACAAAGUUGUGUAUUUGUGGAUCUACUGUAUUGGUGUUUACAAAAUGUACUAACCACCGUUCACUGAGCUCUGUCACUAGCAUUGUUAUGUUAUUGCCUGCUUUUGAUUUUCAUGUUAAGACACUGGAUGUCAUGUACUCUAACUGUAAAGGUGACAGCUCGAUAAAUUAUAUGGGGAGAGAAAGUCACCUCAGGAGCCUUUAUGACACUUAUGGAUUCUUGCACUCUUCUGUAACUGGAUAGUGUUUUAUAGAUCACUGCAUUAUUAGAACGUACUAUAGAUUCACCUCUGAACUUGGAACCCGUUUGCUGUAUGUCCAAUGGUAGAGCCGGGAACAUGUUACAAUUAUUCACGUGAUUAUUUUGACACUGUUAUACUACAUAAUGUUGAUUCAUGGUAUUUAUCAGUUUUAUAUGUUCAAAUGUUGGGUUUGUUUUUAGAGAGAAGUGUCAAUUAACAAAGAUGCUUUGUGGAAAAUGAAUACCAUUGGUUUACAAGAAGUUUAAUUACAUUUCAUAAAAGCUCUUUUCAAUGAAUGAAACGAGUUUGUUUACCAAUUAAGAGGUGCCGUUUUCUUUUCCAGCAAAAGAUAUACACAUUUUUGCCAUUGUCAAGAGUGGCACUGGGGCUAAAACAAUAUCCUACAUAGUGUGGGAGGACUGCACCUAAAAAGGCUGGAGACUCAUAACUAAUUGAAGAGCAUGCAUGUAUAUGUCCUGACCAAAAGAUGAGGAGUCAGUGGUACUGUAGGGGUCACUUGACGUUGUGUUGCAGCACAGCAAGAUUCUCAGUAGACAGUAGACGGGGGCCAUGGGAUGUCUGGAACAAUGACCCCAUUAUCAGUGUUUCCAGAUUAUCCUCCUGAUAAAGCAGGUCCUCCACCUGCUGA